AUCCCAGAGGAGUCUGUAAGCAUGAGCCACCACCCCCUGCUCUUGUUUAGACAAGGCAACUUCCCUUCAAAUGACUUUGUAAUGUCACUGAAUAUAGAACUCUGCUGAGCAGGGAAUAGAAACAUUGAUGUCUGUGGAAAAGUGCUAAAGAACUCCUUGACAUUUUGUGUCUGGCACGGAUCAUUCUGACCCUACAUCCUGCUCCCACC